rnacentral:rRNA from 1 species
UACGUAGGGGGCAAGCGUUGUCCGGAAUCAUUGGGCGUAAAGAGCGCGUAGGCGGUCCGGUAAGUCCGCUCUGAAAGCCCGGGGCUCAACCCCGGGAGGCGGGCGGAUACUGUCGGGCUAGAGUCCGGAAGAGGCGAGUGGAAUUCCUGGUGUAGCGGUGAAAUGCGCAGAUAUCAGGAGGAACACCGAUGGCGAAGGCAGCUCGCUGGGACGGUACUGACGCUGAGGCGACGAAAGCGUGGGGAGCAAACAGG